rnacentral:rRNA from 1 species
GAUGAACGCUGGCGGCGUGCCUAACACAUGCAAGUCGAACGGACCCAUGGAAAAGAUUAGCUUGCUAUGAUUUUCCGGAAGGUUAGUGGCGGACGGGUGAGUAACGCGUGGGUAACCUGCCUCAUACAGGGGGAUAGCAGUUGGAAACGACUGGUAAUACCGCAUAAGCGCACAGUACCGCAUGGUACAGUGUGAAAAGCUCCGGUGGUAUGAGAUGGACCCGCGUCCGAUUAGCCAGUUGGCGGGGUAACGGCCCACCAAGGCUACGAUCAGUAGGGGUUCUGAGAGGAAGGUCCCCCACAUUGGAACUGAGACACGGUCCAAACUCC